UAAGAAUGACUCAUCAAAAAAAAUUUAAUGAUUUUCCCAGAAGUAUUAAAUCAAAACAAGAAACUGUUUUU